CGAAGGGGCGGGGAGGGGGCGUUCCUAGGCGAGCUCCGGAUCUGGAGACGCGGGAGUCACGCUGACUCGCGCCCCUGGAAUGAAUUCUUGCGUGUCAUUUGUACUGGCCUGAUGGAGUGACUGAUGCGGCUGGAACCGAGAUAGAGAUUACUCACAAAAGCUUAACGAGACAUUAGACAAGAUCAGCCAUCAUUUCCAGGGAAUUUUCCUGCUGACAAACUUUGCAAUUGAGGACCAGGCUCUCACAGUGGGAAUGCAGGCUCUGCCAUCAACAAGAUCACUUCCGUGCCAGGGAUGCAUGGGGCCAGGAUCUAGGCAUCCAUAUGGGGAGAGUCCUCGAGGAGCUCAGGAAGGCCUAAGUUGCACAAGCAAACAAGGACCUGGAUUCUCCCAGUAAUCUCAGUGUAUUUCAAAGAUUCUUCCGAGAACCUCCUGAGAAGACCCCAGCCAGCCAACACUAUGAUUUCAUCCUUGUGAGAUUUGGAGCAGAGAAAUUAGCCAACGCCACGUGGAUUUCUGACCUGCACCACUGGAAGAAAACUGAUACACGUGCAGAGUGCCGCACACAAGAUGGCAGUGACAGAUAUGGACGUGAACCCAGACCACUUGACUGCAACACACAGACCCACAGCUCCCGGGCUCCCCUUGCAUUUUCACACAAACGUGGAUAAGUGACUCGUGCGUUCGA